CUUUUCGACGCCGUGUCAAACAAAAGCUGUCACUCGAACGCCACAUUACCGAAGUGUCAAAACUGAAAUUGAACUUUAUGCAUAUGCACGUAGGUCUAUGUCUAUGUUGCUCUGUGGUUGGUGACCGAUUAAUCGGUCUUUGGCGUUGAACCUACGGUGCGGAUAUAUCGGUCAUUGGCGUACAAAAGGUUAAAUAUAUAUUUUAGGUACACUACCGUGUUCAGACGCUUUAACCAUGUGUCUAAGUAUCAAAACGAGUUGAAACAAUCUAUAAUAGUUUCGUGCCUUUGAAGUAUGUUGUUAUUAGGAAAGUUGAUAUGAUUUAAAUAAUAAUGUUACUUAUUGAUAGAACUUAAACUGCUUAAGGGUGGUUUUCACAACAGUUUUUAAACGCGUUCACUUGGCUAUAACCGCGAACACCGCGGUUCGCAAAUUGCGGGCAUCUUUCUAUGUCACCUUAAUUAGAGUAAAAGAGAAAGGUGCCUAAUUUGCGAACUUUUCAGUGUUCGCGGUAGAAGCCUCUGGACGGCUACCGUGAUUAACGAAAUUUGAAGGUUUAUCUCCAUCUCUAUAGGUCUUAGGUCUUCACCGCAUUGGCGUGCGAACGGGACAUCGCUAUAUACGUGAAUAGUUUUGUCUCACUCACAUACUGGAGCGGCCCCGCGGACCGAUAUAAGUGUGAAACACUUUACAAUAUUUCGAUGAUUCACGGUAGCCUCUCACUACUUAUAUUUUGACUUAUAUUAACUAAGGUUGUCGUUUUCGCGUUAAAAAAUGUCAGUGGAGAGUUAUUGUUUAAACUUGAUCUCUGAGGGUCUACCGCAAAAACCAAAGUUCGCAAAUUGCGGGGAUCUUUCUCUUUUACUCCAAUGAAGGCGUAAUUAGAGUGACAGAGAAAGAUGCCCGCAAUUUGCAUUCUUCGUUUUUCGCGGUUAUAGCCCUGCUGUGUUGCGUUUUGACACUUUGUUUCAAGUAUACAGAGAAGUGGUUUAUAUUUUUAUUAUCAGAAGAAUAUCGGCGUUUAUUUAUGGUUAAAUUGCAUUUGUAUUGAAAUAUUUAUAAUACACAAUUCGACACCUCUAAA